CUCUACUGCACAGUUUGACAGACAAAUGAUAAACCUAACACAUGCAUGCUCUGAUUUCCUUGGUAGGUCAUAUUUUUCACUUUCUGGAUGUGCAAAGUUUGGAUAGUACACAUCACCGGGCCAAACCUUUCUCAGGAAUGUCAUUCUAAAAGGAUAUUGGCAGGAGGGGGUGGAAUGUCAUUCUAAGAUAUAUAUAUCAGCAGCAAGGGUGUGGAAGCUCACACGCUCAGAUUUCAACGCGUUUCGAAGGUGGAAAUGACAAGAAUGUGCAGUGUGGACCUCCAAUUUCUAGUGCUAUGAUGCAUGAGGACUGCCAAAGUGAGAAUACUGGUUAGUUGUCAUCAAGCAGCCCUUGUAGAUGUGUAUUUUGUUUAUAUAUUGCUAGUUUAACCAUUAGUACGUUUGACUUGGGGAUACAAGCUUGGAUAUGUUAUAUUUUGUUGUAUAUAGAGAAUCCCGGGUAUGUCCAGCAUAGGAUAACAUGUAUUUUUUGGUUUAACAUUUGGAUGGGUUGUAUUGUUAGGUUGCAUGAAUCGGUCUUAGCCGAGAACAUGGGUUAUGUAAUAUAUUAACUUCACUAUUUUAGUGCUAAUGUUGAUUUAUGUUUAGUUUGUAA